rnacentral:rRNA from 1 species
UGGGGAAUCUUAGACAAUGGGGGAAACCCUGAUCUAGCCAUGCCGCGUGAGUGAUGAAGGCCCUAGGGUCGUAAAGCUCUUUCGCCAGGGAUGAUAAUGACAGUACCUGGUAAAGAAACCCCGGCUAACUCCGUGCCAGCAGCCGCGGUAAUACGGAGGGGGUUAGCGUUGUUCGGAAUUACUGGGCGUAAAGCGCACGUAGGCGGACCUUUAAGUCAGAUGUGAAAUCCCGAGGCUCAACCUCGGAACUGCAUUUGAAACUGGGAGUCUAGAGAUCAGGAGAGGUUAGCGGAAUACCGAGUGUAGAGGUGAAAUUCGUAGAUAUUCGGUGGAACACCAGUGGCGAAGGCGGCUAACUGGACUGAUACUGACGCUGAGGUGCGAAAGUGUGGGGAGCAAACAGGAUUAGAUACCCCCGUAGUCC